UUUUUUUUUUUUUUUUUUUACAUCAAGAAUGAUAUAUAGAUUAGCUCCAGUUAUAAUGUUUGCUUCCUCAAAAAUCACAAUGAGAUCAUUUAUUUCUGCUUAAAUGUUAAAAUUAAUCAAUCAAUUUUUUUGGCCUUAUGAACUGUUUCUCCACAACUUUUUUUUUUCUUCUUUUUAUUUAUGCAUGCAGGAUGUUUCUGGUUGGACUGAAACGAUUUGGAAGAGGAGACUGGAAGAACAUAUCAAAGCAUUGUGUGACUACAAGGAAACCAAGCCAAGUUGCCAGCCAUGGCCAGAAAUACUUCAGGCGCCAAAAAAGUUCUACUCCAGAAGACAAGCGCCGUUCUAGCAUUAAUGACAUCAUUGCAAUUGACCCAGACUUUGUUGUGCCUCAUUACACUUUCCCAAGCCUUGAACGAGAAAUUCCCAGUUAUUCUACUUCUACUGGCCAGCCUGAAAUUGCCUUGCCUUCAGAACCCGACCGAAGCUACGAUGUUGAAGAGUUACUCAAUUCAACAGAAGCUAGCACAUUCCAACUUGAAGAAUUCCCUCCUGUGGAUGAAGCUUUCUUUGAAGACCCUUCAUUUUACUUUCUUCCACCAGAUGCAGCUUAUCCAGGAGCAACAAUCAACAAGGAAAAUCAUGGGCAAGGACCCAAGAACUAGUAGUUUAAUGCUACUAGCUAAACAGGAAUCUCAGAGGGGUUAAAGGAACAAGCUUUAAAACAUGCUAGGGGUCUUUCUUUAAUUUGCAUGUGAUUGAAAAGGACUAGGAUCUUAUUCUCCUCUUAUGUUUUGAAUAUUUGCUAUGACAUCGAUUUCUGGGAUUUUGUCUUUGAUGAAGAAUUGAUUCUCGAUGUGGUACUUCGCAUUGGAAUGAUUGCAUGCUUUUGUGAUGGGCAAUUGGGAAGUAUCUCUCUUAAUCUUGAACACUGUACUUGAUUUAUCAUCUUGCUUGCAAUGUCCAAGUCAGUGUUCGGCCCAGUCGGCAAAGAGAAACUAGGGCAAAUUAGCUUUCAUAGACAAAGUGACAAUUUAAUUAAGCUGACUGUCGUAAUAGGACUAGCAUAUAGGAACAUAGUCUGAUAUGUCAAUGAAAUUCACCAGACUAGCUUUCUUGGUUGGAGAAGAAAUUGAACCAAUUAGAAACAUGGUUCGUCAUCGCAAGUCGCAGUCGCAUCGCGGUCUCAGUUGUUCCACAUCUGUAGUGACAUAUGGGUUAAAUAUCGAGUAAUACGCACAUUAUAACACAUAGUCUGAUAUGUCAAUGAAACUCACUUUCUUGGUUGCAGGAGAAACUGAACCAAUUAGAAAGGCCAGUUUCUUGACAAUAUCUCAUGACUGCAUUUCUAUGUUGCCCUGACGAUCUUUUAUGGCUUUCAAGCAGAAAUCAGGGAUUUUAUUGAUGCACCAAAGUAUUUACAAUCUAGAAAGGGGCAUACCCCUUAAUUAUCACGUCCGGAAUCUAGCUAAUGAUUAUGCUACUAAUAUAUACAACUUCAAUUCUCAAAGCGCAGGUGAAUCCCUAAUUUACUUGCUAGACUCUUCCUAGCUAACUAUCAUUCAUCAAGGAUCUUUAGUCCUUUACCUCUCACAUCACAAAUCUUGUUGAGUUGGAACUGGAUGUGAUCAAAUUGGAAAUAUCUUGUGGCCUGCCUUCAUCAUUGGAAAAAACAUAAGCAACCUUUCAUGAGCUGAUUAUCGCGAACUUUCGUGCCCUCUUCUAGUAUUGAUGCCCGCAAGGAUUCUAAAACAUUCACCACCUCUGCCAUCUCCGGUCUUCUUUUAGGGUCUGCGUCCCAACAACGUUCCAUCAACCUGGAUAGAUUCCUUGGACAAUGCUGAGGUAUUAUCGGCCUAAAGCUGGUAGAGAAAUCCGGUUUGUCACAACAAUAUAUCUCCCACAAGCAGAUCCCAAAGCUGAAGACAUCACACUUGUGAUCAUAAGGACUUCCUACUAGAACCUCAGGAGCCAUGUAACCCACAGUCCCUUGGGCCGAUGUCAUCUGACCAGGAUUCAGAUCCUCAAAUCUUGAAACCCCAAAGUCAAUGAUCUUCGCUCUUCGUCCUUCUUUAUCAAGAAGUAUAUUCUCCGGCUUCACAUCCCUAUGAACAAUCUUCUGGGAAUGAAGGUAAGACAGCCCUUUUGCAACUUCUAAAGCAAGCCAAAUAACAGUAUCGAGAGGCAAUUUUCUACACCUUUUCCUUCUGAGGAAGGAUCUCAAAGUACCACCAUGAACAUAUUCAGCCACCAUGCAACAAGCCAUUCUUGGCAUGCAAGAUUUACCUCGUCCUUGUUUAUUUAUGGUCAGGUUUGCUGCCUUUUUGGUUGCUCCGAUGAAUCUUGCUAUGUUAGGAUGAUCCAACUUGUUCCAAAUCAAUACCUCCUGAAUAAAAGCAUUCCAAACCCUAGCUUUGUAGUCGCCCACCAUGUCAAGAACUUUGACGGCCACUUGUUUACCAUCGUAAACACCUUUGUAAACUGAACCAAAACUACCACUGGCUAUAUGAUUCUUUAUGAUGAGUUUAUUGGAAUCGGCCUCCAGAACAUGAUUCAAGUCCGAUGCUUGGUGACUUGAGCCUUCUUGCUUAGCCCUAGUCUCUUCCAUCUCUUUGUCGAUCUUCGUACGCUGGCGAAUGGCUGAAUAAUCUCUUUUUCGUGUGUUUUAGUUUUAUAUAUAGGAAUUAAUAGCGACGAAAAUAUCUGCAUUAUGGAAAUUCAUCAUAUUUCCUAGUAGGUUUCGGAAACGCAUAGAAUUAUGUUAUAGGAACCGACCAAGUUGGUCUUCUGGCUCUCCUGUCCAAUCCAAAUCUAACAAAUUAGCUUAGAUAUAUCACCGUUAUAUGGCAUAACACUCUUGUUCAUUAAAUUCAAUUAAAAAUUAAUUAUUGUAUAGUUAAUUAAAUGUAUGAGAAAAAAAUCCCGUUCAGGUUUAAUUUAUCAAUGUGAUCUUAUAGCUCAGUGCAAAAAAAAAAAAAAAAAAAUUAGGGCUCGAAGACAAAAAUUAAAUUACUUUCUUUAACCUCUGAACCUCAUAUCCAAAAAGAUUGCAAUUAGAGCUGGAAGACAAAAUUCAAGUUACUUAUCUUUAAAUUGAGCUCCUCAUGUUAGGAUUGAUUUAUAAAUCUAGUCAAACGAAACUUUCUGCUCAUUAAUUUUUAAGCUCAACCAAUUAUACACAUAAAUUUAAGAAAUUUGUAUAAAUACACCAAACAACUUGACAUCUACAUUCUGAUGUAUCAAGCAACUUCCUUUGUCAUGAUCUCAUGCCUUCCAUUGAUUUUAUGUGCUACAUUCGGUUUUGUCAUCAGACUUUGUAUAAAAGCUAAACUUUUUUAACUCUUUUCGACUUCUUAAAUUCCACCCCUCUCCUCUCCUGAUAGAAGAAAACAAAAAAGAAAAAAAAUUGCUAAACUUUCUUUGUACCCUACGUGGUUAAACAAAAUUUAUCAUCUUUUCAUCUUCAAACUUACCAGAUCAGCAUAAAUUUCUCCUUAUUUGGUUUGCGAAAAAUUUCUUUCUAACAAUAAUGUAAUAUAUCAAAAGAUCUCCUAAUACGAUGUCUACCUCUCUUUUUUUUCUAUUUUCUCUCUUUUUUAUUAUCAAAUCAUGCUUAACAAAUCCCACCAAACCAAAAUUAAAGAAAAUAACUAGAAACAAUUUUGAAUCUAUAGGCUCACCUAGAGUUUGGGAAAAACAAAUUUUGUUGUUGCUUCAAGCAAUAUCUUAUUCAAUUCUUAUUCUUCAUCGCUAUUCAUCUAAAAUUGAGUGUGUCAAAUAAUGAAAGAAUAAAUAUCUUGAUUUGGGGCACAGCAAUACAGUUUAAAUUAACUGUAAUAUAUUCUUCAAAUGCAUGAAAAAGAAUUUGCAGUUUUGAAUAUGUUUUGCUGCAUCCAUUUAGAAUUCUUGUGUUGACAUUUUCCAUACUAAUGCACUUGGAGUUUCGAACCUCAAAGUUUAUAGUAUCAUAUUGAAAAGUGUACUACUUUUUUAAAUAAAGUUAAAGAUUUAACAUUUUUGUGGAGGAACAUUUUUCUUCAUUCAAAUUCUUUUAAUGAAAAAGUUUUUGGGCCGUACAAAAGUUUAGCUCCCUAAAAAAUGUCAAUUAGUUUUGAAGUUCAAUCCCCCAAAAUGUUAAAAACUGUGGCAAACAAACACACAAACGAACGAGGAUUAACAAGUCGAAUCAGCUAAAUGGGCCCAGGAAAAGGAAUCAAGGAAAGGCCCAAAACGGGAAAAAGAAGUGCCGAAAAUUAAUUGCCAAAGAAAAGUCGUUAAAUACGACACCGUUUUCAAGGCAAAUUUAAGGCUGAGCUUUCACGAAAGCGAAAACCCCUUCACAGUGUCGGUUCCGAGAGUUGUGGAAUUGUUGGGGUUUAAGCCUCCUUAAGACCAGAGAGAUCCAUCCACUUUCCUGAACCCAGCCGGGCAGAAACAGAAGAACCCGAAAAUGGAAACCUUGUUAAAAAUUUUGGUGCUUUUCUUGUGAUGGGAUGAAAUAGAGGAAUUAGUGUAGAAUUUAUUCUGUAGUGUAAAAAUGAAGGGAGUGGGAGAUGGAAAAAGAAUCUGUGAAGAAUUCUCAAAUGGGUAUUAUGGGGUAUGUGCAGUUGGUGGAAUGCUCAGUGCUGGAACUACCCAUGUUGCCAUCACCCCUCUUGAUGUCCUCAAAGUCAAUAUGCAGGUACGUCUGCAUAAAAAGAACGACAAAUAAGCACAAAAAUUUCUUUUUUGUAAUGUGUUUGUAGGAGAAACAAGAAAAAAAAAAAUUGUAUUUUUGUGGGCUUCAAGGUUUUCUUUUUCAAUUUCAUUGGUCAUUGUUGGAGAUCGUAAUGAUGUUUGCUUUAUGGGCCUUUUUUGGUGAAGCUUGCAGCUUGUAGUGGGUCUUUUGUAUUUUUUGGUGGCUCUAAUUGAUUCUAGUGUGGCUAUUUUGUUGAAUGAGGACUAAGGAAUGUGUUUUUGCUGUCCCUCCAAAAAUAUUAAUCUGGCAUAACUCUGCUUGCAUUUUAGAAGCAUGAUGCUGAUAUUUGUGAGCUCUAGCAUUUAUACUUGGUGAUGGCAUGCUAAGUUGGUAUUUCCAGUUAAGGGGGAGAAACUGGAAGAAAGGCACGGUAGACGGGCUUUGUGAUUCGCUGUUGAGGCUGUUGCAAUAAGCGAGACUAGGUUAACCCGAUGAUCAGGCAAUGUAUUAUUGAUUAUCUAAUGGAUGUUUCCGCUCUAAUGCUCUACCCAAGAGUUAUCAGUAUAUAUAAAAAAGUGUGACUAUCUAAUAAAUUGCUGUUGGUGACAUUACUGUUGUGAAAUAUCCAAGUGCAUUGGCUUAUAUUAAUACUAGGUAUUCAGUGGAAGUUGGUUAUUCACGUUAUGAAUUGCAAACCUGUAUAAGUUAUUAUCUUACUAGUUUGCUCUUUUCUUUUUCUAUUUUGAUUCAUGCAGCGAUUUUUAUCUUUAUAUAUACAUCUGUCUUUAGCAGUCCUAAAGUUUUUACCAGUUAUACAGUGAUCGGAGUUCAUGAUAGCCUUAGAGAAUGUAAACUCGCUGCUGUUUUCUGUGGACAUUAUUCCAGCUUUCUUAUUAAUAGACAGCUGCUCUGUAGAUCUGUCUGACCAAAUUUGCUAUAUAUCUUCUGUUUUGUUCUCUCAAAAAUUCUCUAACCUGGAAUACUCUUUUCUCCUGAUCAGUGGAAUCUUAUGUCUUUGAUUCCAAUGAUUUUUUUUUUUUGGUUGGUUUUCUUACUUUUAUCCGAAGCUGUUGAAGUUGAACUAAUGAAAAAACACAAAUUGUACUUAUUAGGUGUAUCCUAUUAAGUACCAAAGCAUUUCAACAUCUUUCACCACUCUACUAAGGGAGCAAGGCCCUUCAGCAUUUUGGAGAGGCUGGGCUGGGAAAUUCUUUGGUUAUGGUAUGCAAGGUGCUUGCAGAUUUGGCCUGUAUGAAUACUUCAACAAGGUUUACUCAAAUGUUCUGGUGGAUCAGAACAAGGGCUUGAUCUUUUUGCUCAGCAGCAUGUCUGCUGAAGUAAUUGCAAAUGUGGCUCUCUGCCCUUUUGAGGCCAUUAAAGUUCGGGUCCAAGCACAGCCUCAUUAUGCGAAGGGUUUGGCAGAUGGUUUUCCAAAGCUGUACAUGUCAGAAGGACUUCGUGGGUAUAGACCUACAACAUCAUGAACUUGUUCAUUCACAUAAAAUCCUAUUUUUCUGUUUAAUAUUUACUGGAAGAAUUACACCUUAGCUCUCCUUUGUUUCCAUUUUCAGCUUAUUCAGAGGACUUAUUCCACUGUGGGGUCGUAAUCUACCAUGUAAUUUCUAACUUCAUUUAUACUUUAUUUUGUAAUGUAAUAGCGCUUGAACUUUUGAACUUCUUGUUCAUGUUUGGUAAGUUACAAGGCUUCAAGUGGAGAAAUAUUAACAUUUUACAAUAGAUAGUUUAUAUGUCCUUUUCAUACAUCUGAACCAGCACUCUGACAUUGGAAGAGGAUAAUUAUCAAUGACAUUGCACAUUAUUGAAUAUUGAAUCACAUUGCAGCUGUUGCUAUUUCCCUCAAAUGAUACAUCAUUACAUACAAAGACAGAUUCAGGUAGAAACUGCUUCACACAAGUUGGGAAUAAUGGCGCACAUAACUCCUUAUAGUUGUAGAUGUACGAUGGAGAGUGGGGCUUACAAAAGAGUAUGACAAAUUAUGUGUAGUUUAUUCAUUUCAUCUCCAAAUAUUUGUGCAGUCUCAGUGGUCAUGUUUUCGACAUUUGAGCAUUCGGUGGACUUUUUGUAUCGAAAAGUAAUGCAAAUGAAAAAGGAAGAUUGUACGAAAGCUCAACAGCUCGGAGUAACGUGCUUGGCUGGAUAUGCUGCUGGAUCUGUUGGUAGCAUUGUUUCCAAUCCUGCUGACAACAUUGUUGCCUCUCUUAACAACAAGAAAGCCAAUAGCCUUAAGCAGGUGAUCUCCACCUAUGUUGUUUCUCUGUACAAAAUCUAACCACUUAUGCAGCUCUAUGCUUAAUAUUGUCGUUUAUGUUACCAGGCUGUGAAGAGAAUUGGGUUUGUUAAUCUAUUUACAAGAAGUCUUCCAAUUAGGAUUAUGCUGGUUGGGCCUGUUGUGACUUUGCAAUGGUUUUUCUAUGACACCAUUAAAGUGUUGAAUGGAUUGUAAGUUAUUCUUCAUCUUUAUAUUUGACUCAAUUUGUCUUUUACCAACCUUUUUGCUGCAGUUUUACCUUUUUCACAAUCUUAAGUGGGUAAAAUUUCCAGGGGUGUGGGAAAAUAAGUUUGGAUGUCUAUCUGUUGCUAAUUGUAUGUACUCAUUCUGAAAAAAUUUUGAGCUGUUAUUGUUUGUAUGGCAUAAAUAGAAAUGGAUAAAUUGCUGAAGAAGUCGUUAAAAUCUUCUUGUUACGUGGACGGUUAUAAUAAAUUGGCAUUUUAAAUCUUGUGUUAAAAGGGCUGAUGACUAUAACAAAUAGUACCUGUAUCUUUCUUUCUUCUUGCACUCGUGCCUUUAUAUUUUUUCAUAUAUGUCGAAAACAUAUCCAACUGUUGUAGAAAUUAAUUUGCACUUGAACAUUACAGGCCAACAAGUGGACAUGUUAGAACAGAAGAAAGGAACACAGCAAAAACACAUUUGAAUGCUCCAGCUGAAUAGUGGUGUACAUUUUGUUUACCGGAUUAUAUACUGAUCUAGUUAGCACAGUUCUCAAUUGUUUUGGUAUGCUGCCUGCUCUUUUGUUGCCAGGGGUUACUAUCCUCGAGCCCUGUGCAAGCAAAACAUCUUUUGUUGAGAUCCAUGCUUCCAAUUGCUCAUAACUUUCUUACAGCCCAUGUAUAUUCUGAGACAAAACUGUUGGCAUAUUCUAUUGUAGUUGAUGAACUGAUACUGGAAAUGGAAAAUUUGACAACAGCUGAAGCGGAUAUGAAGACUGUUGACAUGCUCUGGGUUUUAGUUUCAGGUGGCUGACUCGUUUGUAACUUGCAUUUCAAUGUUUUCAUAUUUAAAUAUGCAGUUUUACCUUGUUCCAUACCUAAAUCUGGAGAUAGAUAUCAACUGUUACAAUUGAUCAAUCUCCAGCUAUUUUAUGAGUUCUUCUAUCACUCUAUUAUUGCAUGAUUUUCCUCAUGCAUGCACUGUUGUGUAUGCACCUAUUAGGCUAUUACCUUGCACAGGGCGGUACACUUGCAUGGUUAGUGCUGUAAAACAGAACAGAAUGGCUAUGUAGGUCAUAGAAGGUACCACACACCAUUAUUGUUUGUGGAAGAUUAUCGUGCUGGGCUAUACGCACAUGAAUUACAGGAUAGAAAUAUGGGCUAUCUGCACAUGAAUUGCAGGACUGAAAUAGGAAAGAACACAGCAUUCGCCAGGUUACUUCACAGACCCUCUGCAUUUGAUAAAGAGAGGAUAUGGGACAUUUGUAGGUCGUGAAAUCCACAAGCCAUGUGCGGACGUGUUUAAGCUAUAAUGCCUAUGUCCCGAAUUGGCCACAAGUGGAAUGACUUGUGUCGAAGAACUGCAAAUUUUCAAGCAUUAACCACUUUUUUUUUUAAUCUUUUCCACCCUUCCCCCUCAUUGAUCCAGCUAAGAAUCCAAUCAUGGAUGAGUUGCUCCAAAACUCUCUCCCCCGUGUUCUUUUUUUUUUUUCCCUUUUUUCUAAUCCAUUUUAAGUUUGUCAAAAUUAGACUGCUAUGCUUUGUUAAGAACAUUAACCACCACCAGCAGAUCAUUCCUUCCUAGCGCCAUUUCCCGAAACACAGAAAAGGAACACCCACUGGUUGGACUUAUAUUGCAUUAGGGAACAAUCAGCCACAGGUAAUUCAAUUAACCAAGAGAAGCAACUUUCCCUAUCGAUGGCAAAAGCUCAUACUUACAUGCUUCAGUAGAAGCGGAAGCCCAAGAAGGGCCCAGGCAGAAAACAUGUCAGUCAACAAUUAAACGCACAAACCCAGAAUGCUUAAACAAUAAAGAAAACACACACACGCACAAACAUGAUGAUUCACCAAGAGGAACAGAGUGGCCAUCACUCAGGCCAAGUAAACAAAUUCAAAAUACAGAAUUCCUUUUGCUUAAAAUUGUAGUUGACUCGCGAACACAGUAAUUUACCAGGGGAGCUAUAAUUCCUGUAUAAGAGACACUCAUUGAUACACUCAACUUGGGCAUGCAGCUCAUACAUAGCUGUCAAUCAAUGACUUCCUCAUCUCAUCAACAAUGGCACUAGGUUGAGCUUCUCUUAACUUGAAAACGCUCUCUAUAACAGACAAUUCUGUUGCGGUAGUGUCAGAUCCACAAAAGGCUGUCCAGUCAUUAACUGUCAGGCCAGCAGCGAUUACUUCACUACCACGAUUCACUGUCCCUGCCACCAGUGGAACCUGUAGGAGCGUAGAGAGUUCAUCUAGGUCCUCUAUGGACGUAUGAGGAUGCACCUGAGCAACAACAGAUUCAGUGAGAAACAGACACGUGCUCUUAACUCUAACUUCAUAUUUCAUUAGCACAAAUCACAGAAUUAAGGAGUUUUAUAUCCGUUCAAAUGUUCACUAAGUACAAGGUGCACUGCUUACCAGGCCACCCCUAUUUGAAAAUGCACAAUAGCUGCCCACCAAAAUAUUUCCAGCAAUUGUCUGUCUAAAAACUUCUACUCCAAGAACAUCUGCAAUCAUCUCCUCAGUUUCCUAUGAGAAGACACAGCACACCAAAAUUACCAGCUUAAUCAAUGAUUAAAAUAAGCUCAUUUUGAUUUAGACAGUAUAUCAUGCUCUACCCUUCCUGAAAAAAGUUAUAACCAGACAGAGAAAAGCUGAAUAAUUAGCAUAAAAUUAAUAAGGUAGAUUCCAAGUGAAAUAUCAAAUUGCCAUUGAAGAAGCAAAAUUUGAAACAAGUGCAGAAAGCAUCCAGCUGAAUAUCACCACAACCUAUUUGAGGCUUUUACCAAGAGGGAAAUGCAUGCAUACAACAAGAACUGCUGUCAGCAUUGAGAAGCAUGCAUAGACUUCAGAUUUGUCACAUGACAGGCAUAGGAUGUACAGGCAUAUAGAUAAACAUAGGGAGGAAGAGUCUAGAUGACACAUGCAAGUGUUUCAAUCAGGUCAAUUGCAUUCCCAGACAAUAUAAGAAUUGGAAAAGCACUGCUUUAUUAGGUAUAGCAAAAUUGCCACUAACUUUUUCACAUAAGAUAUAUGGUAUCCAAAUCAUUAAGCAUGUUAUUAUCAAGGGAAAGGACAAUAUUACCCUGUCGAGAUCGGUGUGUGUAAGUGCAACAUGAUCGUUGCAGGCAAUGCAGUUUCCCAAUGCAGAAAGUCUCUCAUCAAUGCGCUGAACAACAACUGAAUCUGGUAGACUAUUCCUCAAAUGCUGAAGUUCUUUAUCACAUAUAAUGUAAAUCAAAGUCAGAACCUUGAAAGUCCAUAACACAUCCACAAGCAAAGGUAGAUAAUUCUCAUAUGCACCACAACUUUUUUACGAACAAAUAGUGAUCUUAUGAUGACAUGUAAUACGUCAUCAAUUAAAUCCAACAAAAACAUGGUCAACCAACCCAAGAAGAAGACAAAUGAAAAAGGAAAAGAACAAAGAUUAUACAUUGCACAGUGUAGCUGAAUAUCAAUACUUGAAAGGAAAAUUAUUUGCUUAAAAAUUUUAAAGCUGUGAAUCAAAAGAUACACAAUAACUGUACUAGCAACAAGUUCAUGAAGUUGUUACCUUGAUCGGUGGUAGUAUGCGGUAAGAGAAGCCCAUUCUUGUUUCCUAAAUGAAAAAAGGGGGAAAGUUAUCCUAUCUAAACAGUCAUUCCAAUGGUACUCAUGUCUCUACAAGCAAAAUAACUCUAAGAGCCUUCUAAAGUCCUCACCAGCACAAAGUCUUCCAAUGAUCCUAGUGCCACCAAUCGCGGUCUUCACUACCGGAAUUACAUCAGCCAAUUCUGCCUCAAACGUACUACAAUACACAAUAUAUAGGUUACACACAAGAAAAAAGAUUUGCUGAAGAAAAAGGGAAAAUAAAUUUUAUCAUGUUAGUAGAGUAGCUUGAAGCGAACCUGUAGAAGUUCUCAGAACCUCCAAUGGCGACCAAGCAAUAAGCAUUGGUCAACUUAGAAAAAACUCCAACUUCGCAUGAAUUCUCAAAUUGCAAUCCUAAAAUUAAAAGCAACGAUAAUAAUUAUGAUAUUAAAGGAACAAUUUUCACGCCAUAAAUCAGCUAAAAUCAAUUCUUUUUUUUAACUCAAUGACUUAUUUGAACUGGAAUACUCACUGGUAGCCAUGAUUCCAAGGAUAUCAAACAAAUAUAAACACCUACUCGAUAUUAGAUCUGAAAAGGGAAAAAAUCCAAGAAGAAAGGAUUGAACAUGGAAAGAAAGAAUAAAAAGCAGGAACAAAUAAGAAUAAUAAUGAAAUCAAUUACGGAAUUCUUACAAUCAAGAAAUCGAGGUUCUAUUGAAAAUUCGUAGAUUACCUAAAAGGGAUUUGCUGGGAGAAUGAUUUGAACGUUCAGCAGACGCUAAUCAACGAGAACAGAAACCCUGAUUAGUGUUUUAGGGUUAGGGCUUAUAACCAAGUCAAAAUAAAGAAUCCAAACGGUGAGAGGCUGAGAGCUGUUUUGUUUUCCUGGCUUUCCCCCUCUCUUUUAUUUAUUAUUUUUUUUUGGCGAUAAUUUGCGGAGGUUGUUUGGAGCCAGACGCUGAAAGGGCCUUAUAUGAAGGCCCCUUGUAUGUCGCUGUUGAGGAUUCAACUUCUCGACCAGUUUGGGCCAGAUUUAUUUAUUCCCCUUUCGGCCCACGCGGAAACUUCACCCUUGUAUCCCAAGAAAAAAAAAAAAUUUCUCAUCUUUGAAAUCAACAUUGACAGUCAACAUAUUAGACAUCUCACGUCAUUUCUUGUGAAGAACGUUGAAAGCUUGAUGAUCAAGAAAAGUUGGAUGUGAGCAGGCACAUAUUUGUAGUAUUGGUUUGUUGCAUAUAAUUUCACAUGGGUUUUGAAAUCUACCCUGAUGGAGUUAUUUUCUAACUACUUUGUUUUUGUACUUUGUAUUUAAAGAAUCAUACAAAUACAGCCAAAAAAUAGAUUGUCCAUUAGCAUAAUUCAAAACUCAUUUUGUAUAAUUUAUGCCUUCAGCUUCUUCAAAAUCAUGCUAAUUGCCAGUCAUUCUUUGCGACAAAUUCAGAACAUGUAAUUAGGUAAACUCAGCGUAUUUAACCAAAUGCUAUCUCUUCCUUUAAAAUUGUCUUACCAAAUAUGCCAGGUUAAGUCUGAGUCUCAAAAGAUUCAGGCACUAUUUGGAUUGAGGGAAUGGGAGAGGAAUCGAAGAAAUUUGGUUUUUGUUGUUUGGAUUGACUUUUAAGUAGGGAAAGGGUCUAAUAAUUUUGUCGAAAUAUGGUUUUCACUCAAAAAUGGGCGGAAACGAGGGAAAUGAAAAUAAAUUAAUUUCAAUAAUUUUAAAUUUUUUUAAAAAAGAUCAAUUUUGUCUAUAUUUUCUGGUAAUUAAAUACUUGGUCUUUUACUUUCCUUUCUCUUCCUCUUCAAUCCAAACAAAAAAUUAGUAUUUUCUUUCAUUUCCUUCCAUACUUAAUCCAAACAAAAUAGAUGGACAUCACUUUUCUCUACUCUCCUUUCUUUUCUUUUCCAUUAGUAUCCUUUUCUUUCCCUUCCUUUCCGUCAAUCCAAACGGUGCCUUAGAAAUUAUGGGAUUAAUCGAAUUCAGCCUUGGGCAUGCAAGCAAAAAAUACAUCUCCGAGUUGUAUUCAUGUAGCCAAGUAUACAACCUUUGGCCUUCGAUUGACCAAUCCAAGUCCAGCCUUUUAUCCUUGAAGACCAAAAACAAAUAGGAAAAAUUUUUAAAGGAAUAGGAAAUCCUCCGUGCUCCAGUGCAAUAUUCUUAUGAGAAUUGAAAAUGAGAGAGAGCUUGUAUUCUAUAUGCGCAUUAUGUCGACAUGAUCAUGAAUGUUAUUGUUGCAGUAUCGUUGCUCAGCAUCCUGAGAAUGAUGAAAAUCUCACAAAACCCAAUAUUUACAACAAAAGAAUAGCCACAGAACUUUUUUUUAAAAAAAAAAUUUAAACAAAAACAAUGAAAACAUAGAACAGGCCAGACUGAUGAUCGAUCAAAAUCACCCAUUACUACAUAAAAUUCGAGAAUUUAAAAUCGUUCUGAUGCCCGUAUCUGCAAGUGAAAGAUUGGCUUCGAAAGUAUUCCACCUCCUCUUGUUGCCACUUUCCAUCAUCAAAGUUCUUAGAGCAGCUAAAGCUAUCAUAUAUAAUUCAACAGCUCGUGUCUUUCGCUUUCCUUUGCACACGAUGACUUCUUUAGAACUACCUACUCCUUCAGCUGUGGUGGCCUGGAUUAGCCUCUCCAAUAGAUGUUUUAUUGUACUCAGCCUUCCAUUGGCUCCAAAGAAGUUACUGCCAUGAACCAUCUUUCUGGUUCAUGCUAACUUGUUCAAGUGAUUUCUUUUCCAUCGCAAACAGAAUUGUUUCACCAAAAGUUACUUAUACCAUGGUCCUGGAGGCAGUGAAAUAAAAGAAGAUUCCACAUGUUUUUCCCUUAUCACAAUGCAUUAGUGAUUAGCCACCCACCCAGGACUAUUCAUCUCCCUAACCUGGAGUAAAUAGCUUUUUGUAAAAAAGAUGAACCCUAGAAAUCUUCACCAACCACUACUUUCCAUAAUGCCAAAUCCAUAUCUCCAUCCCAACCAUUUUAUAUUUCAUCUGCAUUACUAUUAACAUCAAGGGGUUCAUUCAUACAACAGUUCCCAGAGUUAAGACUUAGGAAUUGAGACAAAUUUAGUACAGCACAAAAUCACAAAUUCACCUCUAGAUAUUCAUAGCAUCUAGCUUCAUUUUAAAGCAACAACUCGGCAGAAUGCACAGAAAUAAGCUUAAAAUGCGAGCAAAAAAGUUAAGGUGGUGCUUAUGUUAUAAGAAAGGUACAUGCCAAAAGCUACAGUGGCGGCGGAGACGGAGUCGCGUAAUAGGCGGAUGGGGACGGUGGUGGAGAGCUUGAAUGCGCUCGCGGGAUCAUCUGAGCUCAUAAUCAAAGCCGCACCGGCUCCGCCUCCCGCGGCUGUGGCCGCCAUCAACAGUUUCGCUCUGGUGCGCCACACCGAUCUCACCGCCAUUUAUUGGCCUUCCUUUUUAAUUUUUUUCCCCUUGUCCCCGCCUUUUGAUUGGCUUCGGGUUUUUAUUUAGAACUCCAAGAAAACGGGGUGGACAGAGGCGAAACUUCCUCUAUUAUCCACAUAUCUUCUGACAGCAGCUGAAGCGGAUAUGAAGACUGUUGACACGCUCUGGGUUUUAGUUUCGGGUGGCUGACUCGUUUGUAACUUGCAUUUCAUUGUUUUCAUAUUUAAAUAUGCAGUUUUACCUUGUUCCACACCUAAAUCUGGAGAUAGAUAUCAACUGUUACGAUUGAUCAAUCUCCAGCUUUUUUAUGAGUUCUUCUAUCACUCUAUUGUUUCAUGAUUUUCCUCGCGCAUGCACUGUUGUGUAUGCACCUAUUAGGCUAUUACCUUGCAUGGUUAGUGCUGUAGAACAGAACAGAAUGGCUAUGUAGGUCAUAGAAGGUACCACACACCAUUAUUGUUUGUGGAGGAUUAUCGUGCACAUGAAUUACAGGAUAGAAAUAUGGGUUAUCUGCACAUGAAUUGCAGGCAGGACUGAAAUAGGAAAGAACACAGCCUUCGCCAGGUUACUUCACAGACCUCUGCAUUUGAUAAAGAGAGAAUAUGGGACAUUUGUAGAUCUUGAAAUCCCCAAGCCUUGUGUGGACGUGUUUAAGUUAUAAUGCCUUUGUCCCGAAUGAGCCACAAGCGGACAUCGUGUUAUAGAAUGACUUGUGUCGAAGAACUGCAAAUUUUCAAGCAUUAACCAAAAUUUUUUUUUUCUUUUCAACUCCUCCCACUCAUUGAUCCAGCUAAGAAUCCAAUCAUGGAUAAGUCGAUCCAAAGCUCUCUCCCGUGUUCCCUUCUCUUUUUUUUUUCCCUUUUUUCUAAUCCAUUUUAAGUUUGUCAAAAUUAGACUGCUAUGCUUUGUUAAGAACAUCAACCACCAGCAGCAGAUCAUUCCUUCCUAGCGCCAUUUCCAGAAACAUAGAAAAGGAACACCCACUGGUUGGACUUAUAUUGCAUUAGGGAGCAAUCAGCCACAGGUAAUUCAAUUAACCAAGAGAAGCAACUUUCCCUGUAGAUGGCAAAAGCUCAUACUUAAGUAGAAGCGGAAGCCCGAGAAGGCCCAAGGCAGACAACAUGUCAGUCAACAAUUAAACGUACAAACCCAGAAUGCUUAAACAAUAAAGAAAACACACACACACACAAACAUGAUGAUUCACCAAGAGGAACAGAGUGGCCAUCACUCAGGACAAGUAAACAAUUUCAAAAUACAGAAUUCCUUUUGCUUAAAAUUGUAGUUGACUCACGAAUACAGUAAUUUACCAGGGGAGACAGCAUAAUCAUUAAAAAAAAAAAAGGAAAAAGAAGAGAGAAAGAAAAAACAUACAAUGUAAGUAAGAACAGGAGCUAUAAUUCCUGUAUAAGAGACACUCAUUGAUACACUCAACUUGGGCAUGCAGCUCAUACAUAGCUGUCAAUCAAUGACUUCCUCAUCUCAUCAACAAUGGCACUAGGUUGAGCUUCUCUUAACUUGAAAACGCUCUCUAUAACAGACAAUUCUGUUGCGGUAGUGUCAGAUCCACAAAAGGCUGUCCAGUCAUUAACUGUCAGGCAAGCAGCGAUUACUUCACUACCACGAUUCGCUGUCCCUGCCACCAGUGGAACCUGUAGGAGCGUAGAGA
rnacentral:lncRNA from 1 species